UGUAGCUGAGACAUCGCCGAGCACACUUUGCGGAUGGUCACGGCCAGGGGAGCGCAGCCUCAGAGGCCAGGGCAGGGUUGCGGGUGGGGGACAGGAGCCCCUGCGGGCACCUCCCGGGGUCAGCAGGGGCUCAGGUCCAGCCGGGCAGCAGGGCUGUCUGCAGCCAGUCCUCCCAGCUCUGCCCACCUGGGUUUGCAGUCUGGUUCCAGGGUGACAGCCAAGUCCUCCUGGAACCCCAGGCUGCCAUCCAGCUGUGCAGGUGAGCCAGGCUUGUCCAGUUCUCUCUUUCCUUCCCUACCCCACCCCUGGCCUCCUCUGGGCAUCACAGACCCCCUGCCAGCCCUUGACCCUCUGCCCCUCCAUCCAAUGAGAGAGCAGCUGACCUAGAGACCCGGCCUGGGCACCCAGCAGCCGUGCUCACAGCAAUGACGCUCCCUCCUGCUGGUGCAGCGCCCGGGACCCUUUGCCUCACCUCCUCCUCCCGCAGCCAUGAGGAACAGGAGGAGCCAGGCCUGAGCCAGAAACGCUCCAGUUCGCCAGUGAUCUUCACCGCUCUGCCUGAUACCUACACAGUGAAUUCUUCACUUUGAUUUUUCUAUUACAGUUGUAGAAUGACCGUUGUGUACUCUGAGACAGUCCCCAGGAUCGUGUUUGCUUCAGUAGGCAUUGGGGACCCAGCAACUCAAGACCUCGGCAGCCCCGCUCUCCAAGAGGAGGCCCCACCCUGCGCCCCCUUCCUUCCCUGCCGUCUUUUGGAUCCACCUGAUACUUUUCCUCACGGCAACUCCCUCCCUAUUAGUUCAGAAGCUGUAGCUACUGCC